UCGCGGCCUAUCAGCUUGUUGGCGAGGUAACGGCUCACCAAGGCAACGACGGGUAGCUGGUCUGAGAGGAUGGCCAGCCACAUUGGGACUGAGAUACGGCCCAGACUCCUACGGGAGGCAGCAGUGGGGAAUCUUGCGCAAUGGCCUAACGGCUGACGCAGCGACGCCGCGUGUGGGAUGAAGCUCCUCGGAGUGUAAACCACUGUUGCCCGGGACGAAUAGCUCGAUUAAUCGAGCCUGACGGUACCGGGUGAGGAAGCACCGGCUAACUCCGUGCCAGCAGCCGCGGUAAUACGGGGGGUGCGAGCGUUGUCCGGAAUCACUGGGCGUAAAGGGCGCGUAGGUGGUUUGAUAAGGGUGUGGUGAAAGCCCGGGGCUCAACCCCGGAUCUGCCGUGCCGACUGUCAAACUCGAGGACUGUAGAGGCAGACGGAGUUCCGGGUGUAGCGGUGGAAUGCGUAGAGAUCCGGAGGAAGACCGGUGGCGAAGGCGGUCUGCUGGGCAGUUUCUGACACUGAGGCGCGACAGCGUGGGGAGCAAACAGGAUUAGAUACCCUGGUAGUCCACGCCGUAAACGAUGGGUACUAGGUGCCUGGGGGAGCGACCCUCUGGGUGCCGGCGCUAACGC
rnacentral:rRNA from 1 species